rnacentral:lncRNA from 7 species
AGAAAGGGGAACUGACAGCAGCUCUGGCCACUUCCUUUCCCCUCUGCAGUCUCACUGUCCCAAGCUGCUCCUGCCUCAUGGCACCAAUGGCAGUGAACCUCAUUCUCGGUUGGUGGCUGGUGGCAGCGAGCAGGGCACAGCAACGUGAGUAUGGGGACAGGGGGAGAAUGGGGACAGAGGGAGGGUGCGAGUGGAGGGGAGAGCAGAGGGGCUCAGGAGGGUGUGCAGGGACAAGGCUGACUGCUGUCCCCGUCCUAGUGCCCCGACCCUCCCUGUCACUGCACCCCAGCCAGGGGGUGUCCCUGGGGACAAUGUCACCCUGCGCUGCCACCUGCCCCGGCUGGCUGCCUGGGUCUGGCUGUACCAGGAAGGAAGGUUGGCCGUACAAGAAGGGAAGAAGAAGGAUCAGGACACGGCCGAGUUCUUUGUUAGCACACUGCGGGAACACGCAGGUCGUUAUCGGUGUCAGUACCGGGUGUCUGAGUCAGAGGGUCAGAAGAGUGACCCUGUGGAGCUGGUGCUGACAGGUGAGGACACUGGGGACAGCAAAUGGCUCUGGCUGCUCCCCACAGGACCGUGUCCUACUGCUGUCCCCUCCCUCAUGCAGAUCUCAGAUAUCCCCCAUCCAGCAUUUCCCUUCACCCUGAGCAACAUGUGGGAACAGGGACCAAUGUCACCAUCCGCUGCUGGAACAAGGACUAUGGGGCCACCUUCCUCCUGCACAAGGAUGGGAGCUCAGACCCUAUCAAGCACCAGACUCCAGUG